ACGCUGGCGGCAGGCCUAACACAUGCAAGUCGAACGGUAACAGGAAGCAGCUUGCUCCUUUGCUGACGAGUGGCGGACGGGUGAGUAAUGUCUGGGAAACUGCCCGAUGGAGGGGGAUAACUACUGGAAACGGUAGCUAAUACCGCAUAACGUCGCAAGACCAAAGAGGGGGACCUUCGGGCCUCUUGCCAUCGGAUGUGCCCAGAUGGGAUUAGCUUGUUGGUGAGGUAAUGGCUCACCAAGGCGACGAUCCCUAGCUGGUCUGAGAGGAUGACCAGCCACACUGGAACUGAGACACGGUCCAGACUCCUACGGGAGGCAGCAGUGGGGAAUAUUGCACAAUGGGCGCAAGCCUGAUGCAGCCAUGCCGCGUGUGUGAAGAAGGCCUUCGGGUUGUAAAGCACUUUCAGCGGGGAGGAAGGCAGUACGGUUAAUAACCGUGCUGAUUGACGUUACCCGCAGAAGAAGCACCGGCUAACUCCGUGCCAGCAGCCGCGGUAAUACGGAGGGUGCAAGCGUUAAUCGGAAUUACUGGGCGUAAAGCGCACGCAGGCGGUCUGUCAAGUCGGAUGUGAAAUCCCCGGGCUCAACCUGGGAACUGCAUUCGAAACUGGCAGGCUUGAGUCUUGUAGAGGGGGGUAGAAUUCCAGGUGUAGCGGUGAAAUGCGUAGAGAUCUGGAGGAAUACCGGUGGCGAAGGCGGCCCCCUGGACAAAGACUGACGCUCAGGUGCGAAAGCGUGGGGAGCAAACAGGAUUAGAUACCCUGGUAGUCCACGCCGUAAACGAUGUCGACUUGGAGGUUGUGCCCUUGAGGCGUGGCUUCCGGAGCUAACGCGUUAAGUCGACCGCCUGGGGAGUACGGCCGCAAGGUUAAAACUCAAAUGAAUUGACGGGGGCCCGCACAAGCGGUGGAGCAUGUGGUUUAAUUCGAUGCAACGCGAAGAACCUUACCUGGUCUUGACAUCCACGGAAUUUGGCAGAGAUGCCUUAGUGCCUUCGGGAACCGUGAGACAGGUGCUGCAUGGCUGUCGUCAGCUCGUGUUGUGAAAUGUUGGGUUAAGUCCCGCAACGAGCGCAACCCUUAUCCUUUGUUGCCAGCGGUCCGGCCGGGAACUCAAAGGAGACUGCCAGUGAUAAACUGGAGGAAGGUGGGGAUGACGUCAAGUCAUCAUGGCCCUUACGACCAGGGCUACACACGUGCUACAAUGGCAUAUACAAAGAGAAGCGACCUCGCGAGAGCAAGCGGACCUCAUAAAGUAUGUCGUAGUCCGGAUUGGAGUCUGCAACUCGACUCCAUGAAGUCGGAAUCGCUAGUAAUCGUGGAUCAGAAUGCCACGGUGAAUACGUUCCCGGGCCUUGUACACACCGCCCGUCACACCAUGGGAGUGGGUUGCAAAAGAAGUAGGUAGCUUAACCUUCGGGAGGGCGCUUACCACUUUGUGAUUCAUGACUGGG
rnacentral:rRNA from 1 species